rnacentral:rRNA from 1 species
AGUGAACGCUGGCGGCAGGCCUAACACAUGCAAGUCGAACGCGUGGCGGACGGGUGAGGAAUACAUCGGAAUCUACUCUGUCGUGGGGGAAAACGUAGGGAAACUUACGCUAAUACCGCAUACGCUUGUAUGAGCCGAUGUGGGAUUGGCUAGUUUGCGGGGUAAAGGCCCACCAAGGCGACGAUCCGUAGCUGGUCUGAGAGGAUGAUCAGCCACACUGGAACUGAGACACGGUCCAGACGCCUACGGGAGGCAGCAGUGGGGAAUAUUGGACAAUGGGCGCAAGCCUGAUGCAGCCAUGCCGCGUGGAUGAAGAAGGCCCUCGGGUUGUAAAGCCCUUUUGUUGGGAAAGCGGUACCCAAAGAAUAAGCACCGGCUAACUUCGUGCCAGCAGCCGCGGUAAUAC